rnacentral:rRNA from 1 species
AUGGCCACCGCCGCCACCGCCUCCGCCCCGGCCUCCGCCUCCACCUCCGCCGCCUGCGACGCCCCCUCUGCUUCCUCCUCCUGCCCCGCCGCCGUCUGCCUCGUCCCCUUCAGGUGGUGGGCGGGGGUGCGGGAGGAGGCGGCAGAGGAGGGCGGGGUCCGCUACGCAGCCACGCCGGCGGCCUCACCCUCAUAUUAUGGCCUCAGGCUCCUCCACAGCUUCCUGCACCCGGAUCUCGUGCUGCGCCUCGACCGCGGGGAGUGCCGCGCCAGCGCAACCUCAGGAGGGAGCCGCAGCUACGCACUCGUCCCGGCGGACGAGCUCUCGCGGGCGCUCGCCAGGCAGAACUCCAGUUUGGCAUUGCAUAAUAAACAUUUGUUUGCUGAAGACAGUGCUGGUGCUUAUCCUUUGGUGCUUAGAAUUUCUGUGCGUGAAACAAGCAUUUUGACUGUUAAAAUCAGCAAAAAGGAUAAUCCAGUUGAUAACUAUAAGCGGGCAAACAAGAUGUUUAACAUUGAUUCUCAACCAGUUCAUGUUUGGGAUUUUUCAGGGCAGACAAACCUAAUAUUGAUGAAUGAAUGGAAUAGAUCACAUCAAGACUAUUGCCAUUCAGAGCAAGAGAAUCUUCUAGAAGUUCAAGUCUAUGCAAUGUCUGAUUCCUUAACAUUCAAGAUUGGCGGGACUAGCAUGAAUGUUGAUAUGUCCUGUGGGAACUUUGGAAGAGUUAGCUCUAUGGGGUUAAUCGGACUAGAAAAUCUCGGAAAUACUUGCUUUAUGAAUAGUUCAAUCCAGUGUUUGGCUCAUACAACAAAACUUGUUGAUUAUUUCCUCGGAGAUUAUGACAGCGAUAUAAAUCGGACAAAUCCACUUGGACUGAAUGGGGAACUUGCCUUGGCAUUUGGAGAAUUGUUGAGAAGUUUAUGGACGAAUGAUCGAAAUACAGUUGCACCACAUAACUUUAAAGCAAAGAUUGCCUGCUUUGCUCCUCAGUUCAGUGGCUUUAAUCAGCAUGAUUCACAGGAGCUUCUAGCUUUCUUAUUGGAUGGCCUGCAUGAAGAUCUUAAUCAGGUAAAAUGCAAACCAUAUGAAGAAGCUAAGGAUGCAAGUGGCCGUCCGGACGAAGAAGUAGCUGAUGAAUAUUGGAGGAACCAUUUAGCCCGAAAUGAUUCUGUAAUAGUUGAUACCUGCCAUGGACAAUAUAAGUCUACAUUAACUUGCCCUACCUGUAAUAAAACAUCUGUCACUUUUGACCCAUUUAUGUACUUAUCUUUGCCUGUACCUUCCAUGGCAAAGAGGACAAUGACUGUGACAGUUUUCAGCACUGAUGGUAGCAGAGAGCCAUUCUCAUAUGAUGUCAGUGUGCCAAAAUUUGGCACUCUUAGUGAUCUUGUUCAGGCACUGAGUGCUGCUUGCUCACUUGGAGGCGAUGAGUCCCUGCUGAUAACCGAGGUAUAUAAUAACUGCAUCAUCCGAUACUUGGAGGAGCCUUCUGAUUCAGUGUCAUUGCUGAGGGAUGGAGAUAAAUUGGCAGCGUACCGGCUACCAAAACAAUAUGAAAAAUCUUCACUUGUGGUUUUUACGCACAAACACUUUGCUGAGCAUUCUGGUGUUGAUAAUUUUGUAACUCCACAAAUGAAGGAAUUCGAGGCUCCACUGUUGGCAUCACUUCCUGAGGCAGUCAAUGGAUUGACUCUUCAGGAAAUCUAUCUGAAAUUGUUGAACCCGUUCCGAUUUUCCAAGAUCAUUAGUUCAUCUACUGAUUGUGGAAGGGGCGACAGUGACUGUGCUGUCUACUCGAUGGAUGCAGCUGGUGACUGUGCUGUUAAUUUAAUGGAUACAACACCUUCCAGUUCAGACGGUAAUGUUCAUAGUGCUCAACUGGAGGAUGGCCCUGAAAGAAACCAGUGCAAUGAUAAUUCUUGUGAAGUGAUGGAAGGACCUAGUGAGACAUAUUGUGGGGAAGCAGAUGUUUCUGACAAGGAGGCACAGACGGAGCAGUUUGGAUUUUAUUUAACAAAUGAACGGGAUGAUGUUCAGCGCACAAAAAUAGAAAUGAAUGAUCUUGAUUUACUUGAGGCAAAACCAAACCGGCUACAUGUAAGUGUCAAUUGGCAACAUAGUGCUUCAAAACAAUAUGAUGUCUCAAUGCUUAACAAUCUACCCGAGAUACACAAGCUGGAGGUUAUUCCAAAAGGAACCGAAGAUUCUGUUGCACUACAUGUUUGUCUAGAAGCCUUUCUAAAAGAGGAGCCAUUGGGGCCAGAGGACAUGUGGUACUGCCCUUGCUGCAAAAAGCAUCAGCAAGCGAUGAAGAAAUUAGAUCUCUGGAGGCUACCUGAAGUUCUGGUCAUCCAUCUGAAAAGAUUUUCAUAUACCCAGUUCACAAGAAAUAAGCUCGAGACCUUUGUAGAUUUCCCCAUUAGUGAUUUGGACCUGUCAUCAUAUAUUACCACCGAGAAUGAACAACCAUACAACCAUUAUCGCUUGUAUGCCAUUAGCAGCCACUAUGGAAAUAUGGGAGGUGGACAUUACACAGCAAGCAUCUACCAAGAAGGCAAGGGAUGGCACAAAUUUGAUGAUGAAUGUGUAACACCUAUAAGUGAGGACAAUAUAAAAACAGCUGCUGCAUAUGUUCUGUUCUACAGACGAGAGUGA